GAUGAACGCUGGCGGCGUGCCUAAUACAUGCAAGUCGAGCGAACGGACGAGAAGCUUGCUUCUCUGAUGUUAGCGGCGGACGGGUGAGUAACACGUGGAUAACCUACCUAUAAGACUGGGAUAACUUCGGGAAACCGGAGCUAAUACCGGAUAAUAUUUUGAACCGCAUGGUUCAAAAGUGAAAGACGGUCUUGCUGUCACUUAUAGAUGGGUCCGCGCUGCAUUAGCUAGUUGGUAAGGUAACGGCUUACCAAGGCAACGAUGCAUAGCCGACCUGAGAGGGUGAUCGGCCACACUGGAACUGAGACACGGUCCAGACUCCUACGGGGGGCAGCAGUAGGGAAUCUUCCGCAAUGGGCGAAAGCCUGACGGAGCAACGCCGCGUGAGUGAUGAAGGCCUUCGGAUCGUAAAACUCUGUUAUUAGGGAAGAACAUAUGUGUAAGUAACUGUGCACAUCUUGACGGUACCUAAUCAGAAAGCCACGGCUAACUACGUG
rnacentral:rRNA from 1 species